UCAGCGCCGCGCCGCUGACAAUCCCGUCGUGGGCCUCUCUGGCCGCCUGGAGGACUUGUCAUCUGUGUCCGGCGGCGCGGGGAGGAGCGGGGCGGCGGUGGGUGGGUCUGACGUGAGGUGCCACGAGAUUCUCGGGUGCACCGCCUCCUACUACUUUAGGUGGGCGGGUGUCUUUGCCAUGGGGCUGCAGCAGGUGUGGAGGCUUAUGUCGAGGUUUAAUUCAUUCAAAAGGACUAAUAUCAUACUGCAACAUUUGAGAAUGUCUAAGCACACGGAUGCAGUGGAAGUACUGUUGGAAAGAAAAGGUUGUGCAGGAGUGAUAACACUAAACAGACCAAAGUUCCUAAAUGCUCUGAACCUUAGUAUGAUUCGGCACAUUUAUCCACAGCUAAAGAAUUGGGAACAAGAUCCUGAAACUUUCCUGAUCAUUAUAAAAGGAGCUGGUGGAAAGGCUUUCUGUGCUGGGGGUGAUAUCAGAGCGAUCUCUGAAGCUGGAAAGGCAAACCAGAAGAUAGCUCAAGAUUUCUUUAGAGAAGAAUAUAUGCUGAACAAUGCCAUUGGUUCUUGCCGGAAACCAUAUGUUGCACUUAUUCAUGGAAUUACAAUGGGUGGGGGAGUUGGUCUCUCAGUUCAUGGGCAAUUCCGAGUGGCCACGGAAAAGUCUCUUUUUGCGAUGCCAGAAACAGCAAUAGGACUGUUCCCUGAUGUGGGUGGAGGUUAUUUCUUGCCACGACUUCAAGGAGAACUUGGUUACUUCCUUGCAUUGACAGGAUUCAGGCUGAAAGGAAGAGAUGUGUAUGCAGCAGGAAUUGCUACACAUUUUGUAGAUUCUGAAAAGCUGGGCAUGUUAGAAGAAGAUUUGUUAGCCCUAAAAUCUCCUUCAAAAGAAAAUAUUGCAGAUGUCUUAGAUGCUUACCAUGCAAAGUCCAAGAUUGAUCAAGACAAGUCUUUUAUACUUGAGGAACACAUGGACAAAAUAAACAGUUGGUUCUCAGCCAAUACUGUGGAACAGAUAGUUGAAAAUUUACAGCAAGAUGGUUCAUCUUUUGCCCUAGAACAAUUGAAGGUAAUUAAUAAAAUGUCUCCAACAUCCCUAAAGAUCACACUAAGGCAACUCAAAGAGGGGUCUUCAAAGACCUUACAAGAAGUAUUAACCAUGGAAUAUCGGCUGAGUCAAGCUUGUAUGGGAGGCCAUGACUUUUAUGAAGGUGUUAGGGCAGUUUUAAUAGAUAAAGACCAGAGUCCAAAGUGGAAACCAGCUGAUCUAAAAGAAGUUACUGAUGAAGAUUUGAAUAAUUACUUUAAAUCUCUGGGAAGUAACGAUUUGAAAUUUUAAGGUACACAAGAAAUUACAGGGUGUUCCAGACUUGGGACAUUAAAUUCAAGUUGCCAUCUGAGUUCCGUGUCACAUUGGUGGCGGCUCUUGUGCCCCUAUCCUGGCUGUUCUCAAGGGAAAAGAUUCAGUGGUUGGGCACGUGUCCGUGUGGUGAAGAAAGGAACCUGCUACUGUGUCCCUUCCCAUGGUCACGAACACUGGAGACUUGUUUUUGCAGUGUCUUCUGAUGGAGCCUGACGUGAGUGCUGUUUCUUGGGCCCUCUUUUCCCCGGUUUCCUUUCCCUUAUAAUUUGGCCACUAUUAUUUCAUCUGCGUUUGUGAUGUGUAGUUGGAACAAAUGUUUCCCUUUCCAGUAGCUAAUAAUUCUUUCAGUCUUCUGUUUUAUAUGUUCCUUCCUUCUCAAAUAGAUCUUCCAGUCUUUUACUGUUCGUAAAAGUUCAAAAUGAAGUAAAUCCAAUAUUUAGAUAUGAAGGUGCAAAAGAAGUUAUCCUAUCAAAGAUGUUCUCACUGUCUUGUCAUCAAGGCCAAACUAUAUCUUGAUGAUUAUCACAUGCACCACAAAUUUGUUUAUCUGGUUCUUUUUCCUCCCUGCCUCCAACUUGGUUUAUUAACUCACUGAUUAUGCAAGGCUUGUAGUUCCUUGUCCAUGGUUUGACAUAAUACAGCAUAUAUUUCCAAGAGAAUUCUAUGUUGCAAGAUCUUAUACUCUGUUAAAAUGAUUCAGGAGCGAGAGGUUGGUGCAUGGUGACAAAACCGUACUGCUGUAGUGUCAGAGUGGCAACAGAGAUGAGAAUUCUAGCUAGAUAUGGAUCUGGCAGGCAUCCCUGCUACACCCCUGGGAAAUAGGGGCCCAGGCACAGGAGGAACCUGAGGUUAAAAUAUUUAUGAGGAAACUCAACAGUCUACAUCCGUAUGUACACUGAAAAAUUUAGUGUGGCUAUGGCUUUGUGUUCUCACCAUAAUAUUCUAUCUUUUAAAUAGUAUAUGACUUUGCAGCAAAAGUGAGAUAUAAAAUGAAUGAAAAAUGGCAACAUCUAGGCUUUUGUCCAAGUCAUUAGUGUACUCAAAAACCUAAAUUUUCCUUCGUGAGUUCGAAAGAUGUUUUGCAUUUUCAGAAAACUUUUGUUCCUUAGCCUUAGGACUUCAGAUCCCUAUAUAAACAGGGAUGGUGGUUUUUCUACUUUAUAAGUUUCUAGAUUGCAAGUACAACAGGACAGUUCAGAGCUUGAGACUAGGUGAAAUGAAAGUUGAAUGCCAGGUGUCCAAAGGCAACUGAAAGAUGGCACAUGACUCACUUCAAAGUACUCUUUUUCCAUGCAACUGGGAGAAUUCACUCUAUUUGUGGGUUUCAAAGGACAGUUGUUAAAAUUAGAGGUAGCAUUUCUGCCUGCUUACAAGGCCAAAUACAUAUUUAUCUCAUUAAAAAGGUUACAAGUCUUUUUCUGCCUUGCUUUAGCUGUCAGUGACAAGGGUCUGUUGAAUCUUAAUAAAAGAAUUUAAUGCACACAGACUUAAAUAAUUCCCUUUCCAACUAAACUCAGUGUGUAGCAAAUCUGGAUGAAAAGACCAUUCUAGGGACUGAGUCCCAAUUUUUCUACAGGUUAUGUUUUCUCAGUAUCUUCUUCCACUUCCAAAUUUUCUGUUACCAUUGAUUUUAAGCAGUACUUAAUUCUUGGGGGGGGGAGCUUCCCCAAAAAGCCAAAUUUAAGAAAAUAGUAUAUGGCUGUAAAUGCCUUAUGGGCAUUGUUACCAUAAAAGAAAUACAUGAGUACUCUCUUUGGAGGAGUGUUUGAUCUUCUGUUUUGUAAUGCAACGGUAUAGCCUCAUGCAUAGACUGGUCCCACAGUAAUAUGAAUGGGGACUGCCCCCCUAGUCAAUAAUAAAAAUGGGAAUGAGUGUCUAUUAUACCAACUCUCUACAUCUUUGAGACAGUAAAACUCCAUAUACAUGCAGCACUGAGAACAGGUUCUGCUUUUUACCUUGACUAGGGCUCCUGUUAUUUUAAAAUUUACUGGAUUGCUGUUUGUUUUGUUGUAUCACUGGGCUGCUUAACUCAAUGCCAUAAACAUUACUAUCAUGACUUCUGUAAAUUGUAUCCUGUUCAGAUGCCUUAUGUGCAAAGUCUCCAGUCAUCCAAUAACAGCUGUGGUUAGUUAGGGCCCUGAGGUUUAAGGUGGUAGUUUAGGACAGGUUUGAAGGUGGACUUCUGCAAGGGGUGCUUUCUACUGCUUGAUCAUGUGUGUUAAGUAGGGGUCCUUGACACAAAUGGUUUUGACAAAUGACCCACUAUUAAUUACUGCGGCUUAAGUGCCAUUUCCUUGCCAUCUGAAAAAUCCCUUUCAUAACUUGUUUGUGUGUGUGAAUUAAAUAGUUAUUUUAAAAGAAGUGUCUUUAAAAUAAUCAUUUGAUUUCUUUGGUGAUACUAUUAGUGCCACAGGAAGAAAGUGGUAUGACAUAGAGCUGAUUACUGUGGUACAGGACCUGUGUUUAGCCCUUUAAAUGACUCAAAUCCAAGAGCAAGCAGAUAGAAAUUGCUAUUAACAUAAAAGUGCUUAACGUAUUUCAUUUUAGGUACUCCUAUACUCUUGAUAUUAUCAUAGACUUUUUAUUACAUCUAGAUGGAGUUAUUUGUAUUUAUUCACACCAGUUUUUGCUAUGAUUUCAUGUAUUUAAACUAGCACCAACUUUAUCCACAAUUCAGGAAGGUUAUCAUCAUCCUUACAGCGUCAAGGCCCCUCACUCUCAAUGUAUGGGAUGUCAUAGUACUUGAUGUUAUUGCCUGCCCACUGCUGCAAGGCGUCACUCAAGAUUUCCUGGGAUAGGCGGUGUGCAAAUUCAAAGACCACAGUUUCGGGCCCUGGUGGUUCCUUCACUUCUUCAACAUUCACUGGAGAAGGCAUCCUAGCCCAUGUUAUGAAGAGCUUUGAGUGAAGAAAAGCAGGAGCAAAGACUACAUCAACAGCAUCUUUGGAAAACACCGAGCUUGUCCACGGGUUACUGACCGGUGCCUUUCCUUUCCAGAGAACAAGCAGGGGGAAUGGCAGGCAGUGGUAGAAGGAGAAGCCGUCUCCCUCUGGAGCAGGGAGCCCAAUGCAGGGCUCAAUCCCAGGACCUGGGAUCAUGACCUGAGCCAAAAGCAGACGCUUAACAUCUGAGCCACCCAGGCGCCCCUCAGUGGUCAUAUUCUUUACACCUACAGAAGAGCAAGAAGCCGCCUUCUACCCACCAUUACCAGUUCAAAGGCUUUAUCCAUUUCUUACUUCUUUUGGGAACUUGAAGACUGCCUUGGGUUGGAAUAAUGUCAAUAAAAGAGAAAUCAACUUGGAAA